GCGGUCUGCUACUCCAUUCCAAUAGCGCUCUGCGGCAAAAAUAAGGAGGUAACUUCCGCCGGGUCGGCGGUACGGCAGUGUGGAGACCUGUCGCAAAGCCAUGGUCGUUUCGCUCCUCCAUGGCGAGAAAGGGCUUGCGGAGGCAUCCCUUUUACGGCCCUGUGCCUAUGGCA
rnacentral:ncRNA from 1 species